AUUGAACGCUGGCGGCAGGCCUAACACAUGCAAGUCGAGCGGAUGAGAGGAGCUUGCUUCUUGAUUCAGCGGCGGACGGGUGAGUAAUGCCUAGGAAUCUGCCUGGUAGUGGGGGACAACGUUUCGAAAGGAACGCUAAUACCGCAUACGUCCUACGGGAGAAAGCAGGGGACCUUCGGGCCUUGCGCUAUCAGAUGAGCCUCGGUCGGAUUAGCUAGUUGGUGAGGUAAUGGCUCACCAAGGCGACGAUCCGUAACUGGUCUGAGAGGAUGAUCAGUCACACUGGAACUGAGACACGGUCCAGACUCCUACGGGAGGCAGCAGUGGGGAAUAUUGGACAAUGGGCGAAAGCCUGAUCCAGCCAUGCCGCGUGUGUGAAGAAGGUCUUCGGGUUGUAAAGCACUUUAAGUUGGGAGGAAGGGUUGUACGUUAAUACCGUGCAAUUUUGACGUUACCGACAGAAUAAGCACCGGCUAACUCUGUGCCAGCAGCCGCGGUAAGAC
rnacentral:rRNA from 1 species